AGCAACAUCUUUUUCAGCGAUGGUCAGGUAUGUUUUCUAUAAUUUCUAUCAAACAAUUACAGUGCCCUCAUAUUCUAUCGCCGAAAAAGUCCUCGUAUCCUCUCAUACCCAAAUAAUAUAUGUGGUGGUGAUGUUCAUGCCACGUUUGGUCUAUUGAUUUGGUCAGAUUUUUGGAGCUUCGUGCUGUGUAUUUUUUCCUCGCCGGUUCAUAAUCUCAAAUAGCUUUAGGACAGGUAAUUACCCCACACCUUACCAUUCCAUGUUUUACCAUCAAUUUUACUGUUGAAGUGCUUUACACAUAGAUAGAAUACUUAUUGUUAGGUGCCGGUUCAGUAAAUUUAAAGAUGAAUGGUGUAUAAACAGCUCACUUGAUGGUUGCCAAAUAGCAAAUUUAUUUAUUCAAGUACGAGUUCUUUGACAACGGUCAAAUUCUCCUUGGUACUUACACAUGUUAGAUGCAGCAAUGUUUCUUGUAUUACAGUUUCUGAACUAUACACAUCAUGUAUAAAGUGUUAAUGGGAAUGAUUUCUUUAAUCAUGUAUAAAGUGUUAAUGGGAAUGAUUUCUUUAAUUAUGUGGUAAGCUAAUUUACACAUAGACAUCAUGCUUACUAUUAGUUGAUGCUUCAGAAUUGAAAGUUGAAUGUUGUAUAAGAAGCUCUGUUGGUGUUUGAUACAUAGUAGUUUGUAAGAGAUCUUUCAAAUAUGGGAUAUCAUGUUCAGUUGGUGCUCGAUACAUAGUAGUUUGUAAGAGAUCUUUCAAAUAUAUGAAAUCAUGUUCGGUAAAAAAGCAGCAAUAUUACCCUUAUAAUUCAAAUAUAUUUGCACAGCAUAUGACAAGGUAAAUUAACCUGCAUCGCUUAGUAUGUUCUGAUUAGUAUGUACGUGAUAUGCUUCAUCUAUAUGUGUAACAGGAUGUUUUAAAGUUAUUCAGCUCAAUUCAGCUAUAAUUAAUUUUUGAGAUGGGCCUGGAUAUGAAUGAGAGGAUUGUACCUCAAACGCCUCCAUGCAGCCAAGAGCAGUACUGUUGUCAACAUGAAGCGGUCGACAACGAGAUGGGCAUGACAACGCUCUUUUGCUUCCUUGAAAUCAAAGUAAGCACAAUCAUACUGAAAAUUUCCCUCAUGUCCUCCAUUUGGAACUUUCAAUCCUUAACACGCAUACCUUUCUGCUUUCUUUAGGUUCCAGAAAACAAGUGGUCAUUGCAUAAAGACUUUAAAAGAAAUUUUUACUCAUCAGUUACGAAUAAGUAAUGAAAAAAAGAUAACUGAAAACUAUAAACACUUUAUCAUUAGCCACCAAUUGAUAAGCAUGUAAUAAUAAUUAACUUGCAUGUUCACAUACAAUUCCACUAAGUUACAGAACAUCCGAAACAGAGAAUCACACAAUCACCAGUUUGUACGACAAGGUACCUUCCCUUCACAACCUGUUCUUAUCGCUUGCAUUCCUUCUUUUAUUUCUCACAAAAUAAUAUUCAUCUUUCCUGCAGAUGGAACAUUGUACCAACGAUCCCCUUCCAAUCACUCUUUGCAAAGGCGGCCUUGGAUCUCAUGACGAACUAAAUCACGACAGUGAGGUGCGAGCAACUACAUAACCCACUAUCAUCCUUUUUGAACUGCAUAUUUUACAACUAAAUAGUUUAUUCUAAUUUUCUGGUCAGGAAAAUCAAUCUAACAAUAAAGAGCUAACUACAAAGCAUACCAAGGAUGCUUCCACGUCUAAUUCCUUUGAGAAUGCGUGCAGAAUCUUUACAAGGAAAGAGAAAGGAACAAACUCCCAGUGAACAAGAUGCAAAAUCAAUAUACUCCAGUGGAUGUUUGCAUGAAUUGACGCUUGCGAUAAUAGGUUGCAUUGAGAUAGAAGUACAAGCAAGUAAAGGAAAUGCUUUUGCAAACGAGCAAAGGUUCUACAAGGACAUUCUGAAUACCAUAUAUCAUGCAUUAGAAAAUGCAUGCCAGACUGUCAUAACAGAUCUCAAGAACACAUGCAGGGUUCAGGUUGAUGAUCCAAAUUACACAGGAGUUGUGGCUCAAUGAAGAAAACCUCAUG
rnacentral:lncRNA from 1 species